rnacentral:rRNA from 1 species
GCCCGUCACUCUCCCCGAAUACAGGCCCUAUAAUAAAUAAAAAGCUACUCAAAAGAAGGGGAGGCAAGUCGUAACAUGGUAAGUGUACCGGAAGGUGCAC